UACGUAGGGUGCGAGCGUUGUCCGGAAUUACUGGGCGUAAAGAGCUCGUAGGUGGUUUGUCGCGUUGUCCGUGAAAACUCACAGCUCAACUGUGGGCGUGCGGGCGAUACGGGCAGACUGGAGUACUGCAGGGGAGACUGGAAUUCCUGGUGUAGCGGUGGAAUGCGCAGAUAUCAGGAGGAACACCAGUAGCGAAGGCGGCUCGCUGGGCCAUUCCUGACGCUGAGGCGCGAAAGCCAGGGGAGCGAACGGG
rnacentral:rRNA from 1 species